UACAGAGGUCUCAAGCGUUGUUCGGAUUCAUUGGGCGUAAAGGGCGCGUAGGCUGCGGGGCAAGUCGGGUGUGAAAUCUCAGAGCUCAACUCUGAAACUGCACUCGAUACUGCUUUGCUUGAGGACUGGAGAGGAGAUUGGAAUUCACGGUGUAGCAGUGAAAUGCGUAGAUAUCGUGAGGAAGACCAGUGGCGAAAGGCGGAUCUCUGGACAGUUCCUGACGCUGAGGCGCGAAGGCCAGGGGAGCAAAACGGGG
rnacentral:rRNA from 1 species